AGCAAACAAAUUUUAUAAAUUUUUUCCCCCAGAGAAAAUGCAGCGUUUGCAAUACGUCCUAGGGAUACCUCAACUGGCUACUCCUCAUGUGGUUACUAGAGGUGCUUCCUGGGGCAGUGUCUUCAACCUCUCAUCACUUAGGGCCUAUGACUUCCAGGGACCAAAUACAUUUGGCCUUUCAACUUUUUAGUAUAUAACUUCCAGGGGUGGCUCUAGACUUUGCGAGGCUUUAGGCGUAAACUCAAACAUGAGGCCCAUUAGCGUGUUUAUAAG